GACGAACGCUGGCGGCGUGCCUAAUACAUGCAAGUUGAGCGCUGAAGGUUGGUACUUGUACCCACUGGAUGAGCAGCGCACGGGUGAGUAACGCGUGGGGAAUCUGCCUUUGAGCGGGGGACAACAUUUGGAAACGAAUGCUAAUACCGCAUAAAAACUUUAAACACAAGUUUUAAGUUUGAAAGAUGCAAUUGCAUCACUCAAAGAUGAUCCCGCGUUGUAUUAGCUAGUUGGUGAGGUAAAGGCUCACCAAGGCGAUGAUACAUAGCCGACCUGAGAGGGUGAUCGGCCACAUUGGGACUGAGACACGGCCCAAACUCCUACGGGAGGCAGCAGUAGGGAAUCUUCGGCAAUGGACGAAAGUCUGACCGAGCAACGCCGCGUGAGUGAAGAAGGUUUUCGGAUCGUAAAACUCUGUUGGUAGAGAAGAACGUUGGUGAGAGUGGAAAGCUCAUCAAGUGACGGUAACUACCCAGAAAGGGACGGCUAACUACGUG
rnacentral:rRNA from 1 species